GAUGAAGAACGCAGCGAAAUGCGAUAAGUAAUGUGAAUUGCAGAAUUCAGUGAAUCAUCGAAUCUUUGAACGCACAUUGCGCCCGGUAGUAUUCUGCCGGGCAUGCCUGUUCGAGCGUCAUUUCAACCAUCAAGCCCCCGCGCUUGUGUUGGGGGCUUGCGGCUGCCGCAGCCCCCCAAAAGCAGUGGCGGGCUCGCUAUCACACCGAGUGCAGUAGUUCAUCUUCUCUCCGGUCUUGUGAGGCGGGUUCCGGCCGUGAAACACCCCACUACAGUCAAGGUUGACCUCGGAUCAGGUAGGAAUACCCGCUGAACUUAAGCAUAUCAAUAAGCGGAGGA
rnacentral:misc_RNA from 1 species